rnacentral:rRNA from 1 species
GCUUAUGUCGGGCCAGCUGCCGAGGUGAUACGGAGUGGGCGAGCGUGGUUCGGCUUUACUGGGCGGAAAGGGCGCGCGGUGGGCCAUCUUUGUCAGGCGGGAAAGCCCCGGGCUCAACCUGGGAAUUGCGCGUGGGACGGGGUGGCUAGAGAUCGGGAGAGGAGCGUGGAAUUCCCAGUGUAGAGGUGAAAGUCGUAGAUAUUGGGAAGAACACCGGUGGCGAAGGCGGCGCUCUGGACCGAGACUGACGCUGAGGCGCGAAAGCGUGGGGAGCAAACAGGAUUAGAUACCCCGGUAGUC